rnacentral:lncRNA from 1 species
CCUGAUGAUUUUUAUUUUUAAUUAUAUGUUUGUGGGAAGGAAGAUUUGACAUUUUUAUAUCUACAUCCUGGAUAACUUAUCAAUAAUUACAUCUUUUUCCUUUAUAAUGUUUUGGCCUUGAUUAUCGUAUUCUCAUAUUAGUAUUAAUACAUUUGCUGUUCUUGGAUAGCAUUUCCUUAGUAAAUUUUUUCAAUUACUGUUUUAAUUCAUGUGUCAUGAUUCUAUACUUAUUUUACAAAUAACACAUGCUUGAAUUCAGUUUUUUUUAAUACAUUCUGAGAGUUUCUGUUUUUAGUAGAUGAGUCUAGUAAUAGAUUUUGGUGGGUCCCCUCCCCAUAUCCAUUAUCCCCAUCAUCCUAUCCAAUAGCACCCCAAAUAUUUCAUGCCUGUGAUUUGAAUGGUGUUGAUGCCACCUCUUCCUCUAAAGAUGAAAUCGGAUUGGUUUAUGUGAUUGAUUCAGGAAUGACUCAGAAUAAAAAUGAGGACAAUUAGAAUUAAUAAGUGUUUGGAUUAAAAGAGCAGGGUUUUCCUUCUGCAGGUGAAAAAAGGCAUGAUUAUCCUCAGGAAUUAUGGGAAUCAUCUUGGGGACACCCAAGCAAGUUAUAGCUGAGACAGGAGCCAAUUACAAAGAAACAGAAUGGAAGAAUAACACAGCAAGAAACGGGACCCUGAAUACAUCAUUUGGGCUCUAAAAAAAGGGGACAUGGAUUCAAAAUUCAACAUUCUCCUUUGGUCCUCACAUAAUGCAUACACAUGCAACAAAGCUAAAGGAAUUCGUAGAAGCCAUCUGAAAGGAAGUAAAGAAAAUAAACACAGAAGGAUAUAAGAGGAAACUAAAUAAGAGGAUCUCAGAAAAUAUCAGCCAAAAAGAAACAAUAAAAGGUGCAGAGAAGACCCUGGUGUGCA